rnacentral:rRNA from 1 species
UACAGAGGGUGCGAGCGUUAAUCGGAAUUACUGGGCGUAAAGCGUGCGUAGACGGUUAUUUAAGUCGGGUGUGAAAGCCCCGGGCUCAACCUGGGAAUUGCAUUCGAGACUGAAUAGCUAGGGUACGGUAGAGGGAAGUGGAAUUUCCGGUGUAGCGGUGAAAUUCGUAGAUAUUCGCAAGAACACCAGUGGCGAAGGCGGCUCACUGGCCCGGUACUGACGCUGAGGCACGAAAGCGUGGGGAGCAAACAGG